AUGGCCUCUCUCCCUGCGGGGGAAGAGCCAUCUCUCUCGCUUCGGAAUGGUUUCAGGUGUGUUCCUGAGGCAGGUACAGCGAUUGAGGAGGUGCUGUUAGCAACAGGAGAACAGGUAGGCCAUGAAAACAUUGUUUCUGCAUCUCGCAUGAACAAGGCAGUUGUCGUAUUUUUAAAAAACGAACAACUAGUAAUCAGGAUAAUUGAAAGCAGCAUUUGGGUGAAAGAAACUUUUGUACCCGUUACACCUCUUUUUGCUCCAGCUACAAAAGUGACAAUUUCCAAUGUACCUCCUUUCAUUAAAGAUGACGCGAUCAUGAGAGAAUUGACACGGUUCGGAAAGAUGGCUAGUGCUGUGAAAACGAUUCCUUUGGGUUGUAAAUCUACCGAACUUAAGCACGUAUUGUCUUUUAGACGACAAGCGUUUAUGUUUCUGACAGCGCCUACUAAAACACUGGAUGUUUCGUUUCGAGUGACAUGUGGAGAGAGUUCUUAUAUGGUUUACGCGAGCACUGAUACCUUACAUUGUUUUGAGUGCGGAGUUUUUGGCCACAAGAGAUUGUCUUGCCCUCAUAAACAGCCGCAGGCAGAGGAAACAGCAGGGCCGUCAGGUUUGACGAGCGCGAGUAGCGGAGCGACUGAGGUCAGAGAGCCGCUGAAUGAUGCGGGUGCUCUGAAAGAAGAUGGAGAUGCAGAAAAAGAAAGUGAAGCUGGUGAUAGAGUAGAGGUUGGUGUAAACGCGACUGGAAGUACUGAGGGCAUAAAUGAAGAGGUUUCGUCUAUUGGUUGUAUUGUUACUGGUGCUUUAUGCUUCAAAGACGAUAGAAUGCAAGAAGACAUUACAGGUUCAAAUGAUGAAGCGGAAAAGGAGUCAGAAGACGAGAGUAUUAGAGAUGAUGAUUCAUGCAUUGAUGUAGACGUUGGCAGAUAUGGAGAUUUGUAUACAGUUGAACAGAUAAACUCUUUUCUGGAUGAAACUAAGGGGAGGAGUGUUAAUGUUGAAGAGUUUUUUCCUGACCUAGAGAAAUUUAUCGCAUCCGUAAUGAAAGCUCGUAAAGAAUGUAACGUUGAGAUUUUGUCGCAGCAAAAAAGGUUUAGACUAAAAAAAUAUUUGACAGAAGUCAGACAAAAAAUUCAAAAGAUGAAGGGUAAACGUAGGUCU
rnacentral:lncRNA from 1 species